ACGUGAUCUGUUGGCUCAAGUUCUACAGCCUCACCUUUGAAACAGAGCCAGGUUCUCAUCUGCUUUUGCUGGAUGUGCCUGUGUUAAAAGGCGCAGGGACCUGAAGAUUUCUAGUGAAGCCUGGGGGGAAAACAGACCAGCUUACUAAAGGGAAAGACACGGCAGUUCUACCCAAGAGCAGCAAAUACUCAUUGCUUCAUAGGACAGAGCUCUAGAAGGAUUCAGGCCCUGGCACUGUGUCCUGCAUCCAUUCUUCUGAAGCAAAUCCCUUGCCCCCUGCCUCCAGUUUCCGUAUCUGUAA